AGCCUCCCUGGAAGUGAGGGAACAGACAGCCUCCGUGAACCAAACUGCUCUGAGUCUUCUUAGCACAGCAGAGACAAGAAUAUGCCCCUCUGACAACACAACACCCUGUGUGUUCACCUACAGAGGAGACUCGUGCACAGCUCAGGGGAAUGCAAUCGAUCAAAACGACAAGGCAGCUGUCCGGCGAGACAACAAAGGCUUGUAGCUGGUUGUUUCCCGUACGACUGUACAGUAAGCGACAUUCACUUCCCCACAGGCAGAGUGGACCUUGUGAGAGGCUAAGCGGCAGGUUAGCUCAAGAGAAAUCGUUUAAAAAAAAGGAUGAAUCAAAGACAAGCGGUGCACUGGCGCAUGCAGCAAAGUUCUCCGGAUGUUUGUUUGUUUCAAAGGUGCCAGACAUUUCAAUCACAGGAAAGCAAACAAGCGCCAAAAGGAACUACAAGUUCGUACUCCCCAGAAAACCAAACCACACGGAGGAACAGGAAGUGUACGAGGCAGAUUAUGAGCUCACAGGAGUGAGGGACACAGCCAAGCAGACAGGACAGGGAGUCCCCAGAGAGACAAGCCCUCAGCAGGCACAAGGAGAGGUGACCAGGGAGCGGGUGUGGAGCUGGGAGGAGCGUCGGAGCAGGACAGGGAUGGACAGAGAGAGAGAGAGAGAGACAGAGAGAGAGAGACAGAGAGACAGAGAGACUUAGAGAGAGAGAGACAGAGAGAGAUGAGGGUGCUGUGGUGGCUCGUACCGGUUCUUCAUGAGACGGACCUCCCUCUUGCGCGUGGCGUCCUCGACCAGCUGAUGAGGGUUGCGUGUGGGGCCGGGGGAGCCCGCCAUCACCACGCCCUGGGGCAGACUGGAGGUGGGAGUCUGGAGCUGGUAGGCCGACAUGUCACCGGUGGCAGCUGGGAAACAGACACACACACGGGACAGAGGAGGGGGGCUGUUACAGGAACACCGGUGAAGUCAUCCCCAGUGUGUCAGAGUGGGCUGAGCCGAGCGAGGAAGCGUUUCGCCGAGCGAAAGCGAGCGGGUUAGUAUAGCGCUGAAACAUUGAUAAUAUCCUCAGUCAUUUCUGACGGUUACGUUCAGAACGAGGAGAAUAAUCAGAUCCUUGGUUCUACACAUUUCUUACGACUAGCCAACAUCAUCUCUCGAUCUUCUUGACAACAUUAUUAUGGUGUUAUUUUGAGUUUGCAUGCGUGUUUUCUACAACACCAUCAACAGUGCAGUGUGUAUGAAAAGCCAAAUAUCCCUGGAUAUUUGGCUAUAUGUUCUCAGAAUAUCUUUAUGGUGAAAUUUGUUUCGGCCAUUUACCAGAACCGAACUGUAAGAUUUAUAAACAGAGCUUCAGAAAGCAGUCAUCUAAACAAUAUAAAGCCAUGUACAGUAGUCCCUUUGUAACUUUAUUAAUGAAAUAAAUAAAAGUACAGUUGCACA